rnacentral:tRNA from 1 species
GGACUCUUAGCUCAGGUGGUUAGAGCGGCUGACUCAUAAUCAGCGGGUCGGGGGUUCAAGUCCCUCAGAGUCCA